AGCAGCCGCGGUAAUUCCAGCUCCAAUAGCGUAUAUUAAAGUUGCUGCAGUUAAAAAGCUCGUAGUUGAAUUUCGGGAUCAAUGCGUCGGUCGUGCCUUCGGUACGUACUAGCGUCAUUGAUUCCUCCCUUCUGAAGAACCGUGAUGUCAUUAAUUUGGUGUUACGGGGAUUCAGGACUGUUAACCUUGAAAAAUUAGAGUGUUUAAAGCAGGCUAACGCUUGAAUACAUUAGCAUGGAAUAAUGAAAUAGGACGUUCGAACCUAUUUUGUUGGUUUCUAGGAUCGACGUAAUGAUUAAUAGGAUAGUUGGGGGCAUUAGUAUUCAAUUGUCAGAGGUGAAAUUCUU
rnacentral:rRNA from 1 species